GGCCCCGUAGCUCAGCGGAAUAGAGCAACUGCCUUCUAAGCAGUGGGUCGCACGUUCGAUUCGUGCCGGGGUCACCA
rnacentral:tRNA from 1 species